GCUCACCUGAGUUCAUGACUUAAAAAAGGUGUUUGAUACAACACAAUAACAAACGAUUCAACAGUUUUAUUAAAAAUUUCCUCUCCAAGAUUUGUAAUGAAGUUUGAAACGAAAAAGAAAAAAAAGGAUCAUGUAGCGACAGCGAUGAACCGGUCAAAGUAACGACAAUAUCGCAUGUAUCUUCAUCGGUCACCACAACAGGUUAUAUUCAGCCGCAGGAACUAUAAGACCAUUCCUUGAUGGAUGACUCAGAUAACUGCAAUGAUAUCGGGCGAUAUGUUGGACAGACACACAUGUCAUCAACAGUAAAGAAAAAGGAAUUGAUUGAAAACUGUUGGUACCCUUCCGCGACCUAUAAUGGAAGAUGCAAAACAUUUAAAGAGAAAAUUUAAUUAUUCUUGGUUGGAAACCAUAUUUUACAUGGUUGAUAUAUUCCAGGCGCCAAAAAGGAGCAUUUUGUAAAUAUUUUACGUUCUUCCCACCAAAUCCAAAUUCAUUUAGAGGCAUAUUGGGAUCUUUUACUAUAAGACCCUUUUGUAAGUUCAAAGAUAUUCACGAGCAGUGAAACGAGUUCAUUGCACGAAACCACAUUGAAACCUACUUCCAUAAGGAGGCAUUGAAAGCUGUUAAAUCCAUUUUCAAAGGUGUGCCUGUCGAUUUGCAACUGAACAAAUAUUCCUGGGGAGUUAUUGAAAAAAUUAUUAUUAUUAUUUCCUGCAUUACGUUUUGCAGGUCACACGACUAAGCACUGAGAAGUUAACAUUAUAGUGAAGGUAUUCUCGAGGAUUUAUAUAGGCUGUGGGAGAAUUGAUGCGGGAGAUUUGAUUUUAAAGAAACACAUUGAGCAAGGGAAAAAGAAAGCAAGCACUGUAUAUUCAAAAUGAAAUUAUUGUUAUUUGUGAAAGCGUUAUUAAGGCUGAUAUUAUGAAAAAAGUGAAAGAAGUAGCAGCAUAUAGUGUGCUAGCAGACGAAACAGGUGAUAUUUCUGGCACUGAACAACUAUCGAUUGGGUUGCGAUAUUUUGAUGAUGAAACACAGGAAGUCCAAGUAAUGUUUAUCGGUUUCAUUGAGUUAAAAUUUGGAUGCGAAAUCGAUUGCAUAUAUCAUAGAUGGGUUUUUGACAAAAGAAGAUCUGUAUAUGAAUAAAUGCGAUGGUUUUGGUUUUGAUGGUUAUUCAAUGAUGUCAAGAUAAAACGGAAAACUACACCAAAGCCUUCUACUUUCAUUGCUAGUUACACAAACUGAACCUAGUUAUCAAUGAUCUAAAUCUGGAAGCCUUACAAACAUUCUCUCGGGAAGGAAAUAGUGCAACUCGGAAAAGUGCCUUGCAUGUUAUUUCCAUAAUUUCUUUCAUUCUCGAAAUUAUGUUGGUAGCCAAAUACUCGGCUUUGAAGAAGUUUAAAAACUGUGAAAAUUAGCGCCUACCAAUAUUUUCCUUCAAAAAUUUAAAUUUACCAAGAGAAGCUGAAAUUAUACUUUUUUUUAUUAAAUUGAUGCUGUCCCCUUGUAAUUGUGUGUAAAGUGGAGGUUAUUAAAUUUUUUGAACAAA